CUUCAGUUUCUUCAGGACCUUUGAAGAGCAACUUUUUGGUCAUUCCUCUGGCAGAAUCCAACAAAAUGAAACUCACAUUCAUCCUGCUGGCCAUGCUGGCCUUCACACUCAUCACUCUCGAAUCAACCACAGAGGCGGUUGAAAGUUUUACAGGCCUCAGAGAGCCAAGAGAAGCAAAGAAGUUGUUGGUCAAACGUUUUCUGAGUGACAAGGAGGCUGCUGCUGUUGGAAAAAAACAAAAACAGGGGACCAAAUAUGUGUAUUAUUAGAGAGACCUGUGUUGUCUCCUCCACCACAAAGAAGAACCUGCCUUCUAUCUGUGUUCUUGUAUCUCAGCUUCAGCCCAGGCUUCACUGAGACACUUUUCUACAUCUUUUAUUCUCUCUCCUGCUCUUCAUGUAACGAUGUUACUGAUGUUAGUGGGAGCAGAGUUGUGCUUUUUUUCCCCCACCAACAGCCCAAAUGGCUCCAAAUGUCCAUGUAAAAAUGUUUUAAUGAGACACUGUUUUGUUUAACAUCUCUACUUGGGCCACCUGGUUGGUCCUUUGAUCCCUGUUGCUGUCUUCUUUUAUGAAAAAUAAAACACUAUCGAGCAUCA
rnacentral:lncRNA from 1 species